rnacentral:rRNA from 1 species
GACGAACGCUGGCGGCGUGCUUAACACAUGCAAGUCGAACGGAGUGGCGAACGGGUGAGUAACACGUGGGUGAUAUGCCUUGCACUUCGGGAUAAGCUUGGGAAACUGGGUCUAAUACCGGAUAGUGCAAGAUGAGCUCGCGGCCUAUCAGCUGGUGGGUGGGGUAAUGGCCUACCAAGGCGUCGACGGGUAGCCGGCCUGCGAGGGUGAACGGCCACAUUGGGACUGAGGUAGGGGCAAUAGUCCAACGGGAGGCAGCAGUGGGGAAUAUUGCACAAUAGGCGGAGUGCUGAUGCAGGGACGCCGGGUGGGGGAUGAAGGCCUUCGGGUUGGAAACUCCUUUCGACGGGGACGCGGUACCUGUAUAAGAAGCACCGGCUAACUACGUGCCAGCAGCCGCGGUAAUUC